rnacentral:pre_miRNA from 1 species
AGUCUUUCGAAUCAGUGCCGAGAUUUCACCUGACACCAGAUCAUCAGCAUCGAUGGAACUCCCAAGAUAAGUGAAGCU